rnacentral:snoRNA from 1 species
AGCUCAUGGUGAGGACACUUGCACAAUAAAUCUUUUGAAUCGUUCCCAGGCUUCAUAUAGAGGUUCCUUAUCAUAUUGAGCGAAUGACAUAAUAUCUUGUCGAAAUUU